rnacentral:rRNA from 1 species
GAUGAACGCUGGCGGCGUGCCUAAUACAUGCAAGUCGAGCGAACAGACGAGGAGCUUGCUCCUCUGACGUUAGCGGCGGACGGGUGAGUAACACGUGGAUAACCUACCUAUAAGACUGGGAUAACUUCGGGAAACCGGAGCUAAUACCGGAUAAUAUAUUGAACCGCAUGGUUCAAUAGUGAAAGACGGUUUUGCUGUCACUUAUAGAUGGAUCCGCGCCGCAUUAGCUAGUUGGUAAGGUAACGGCUUACCAAGGCAACGAUGCGUAGCCGACCUGAGAGGGUGAUCGGCCACACUGGAACUGAGACACGGUCCAGACUCCUACGGGAGGCAGCAGUAGGGAAACUUCCGCAAUGGGCGAAAGCUUGACGGAGCAACGCCGCGUGAGUGAUGAAGGUCUUCGGAUCGUAAAACUCUGUUAUUAGGGAAGAACAAAUGUGUAAGUAACUAUGCACGUCUUGACGGUACCUAAUCAGAAAGCCACGGCUAACUACGUG